rnacentral:misc_RNA from 1 species
GUUGGUGAUGUAGUUUUUAUUCCAGCAUAUAACAAUAUUAUAUUUUGUGGACUUCCAGUAAAAGCUUGCAAUGAUAAAUCUGUGAAGUGUAGGAACCAACCAGAAUGCAAGACAACACAUUUUGCUUGUCUCUGUGAAGUUAACAAAAAGGUACCACUACUAGAAAGAGAAUAUUUAAAGGAUUGAAAAUUGAAAAUUGGAAUUAUUGGAAGAUUUCAAAUUGGUACGAUUGAUAAAAAAGCAGUUGCCAUCAAAAAAAGAAAACGAGACUGUGAAAUUAAUCAGCAGAUAAGAUCUGCUAACUCACUUGCUCCAGAAAUUCAAUGUGAUCAUUAUAUGGAUUUUGAUUUAGAUAAUAAAAAUGACUCAGAAACAGAUCCUGACUAUUCAAAACUUAUUUACCAAAUUUGUCAAAAGCCGCUAUUAGGUAUGAAAUAAGCGAUAUUGCAACAGCUGCAUUGGCAACAGCUGUAUUAAUUGACUAUGGAAUUGUUAAAGAAAGUAAUAAAGCACAAAUAAUAACAGAAAAAAUUUUUUUUGGGGAAAAAAAAAGAAUCAGCAGUAUUAUAAGCUCUAAACAUUUAGCUGACGUUAAAGAAUUAGAGGUUAUUGGAGUUGAUGGAAAAAAGGACAAGUUUACAUUGACACAUUCUAUCAGGUAUAACAGUAAUGGAGAUCCAGUUAUUAUUGCUGCAAUCAAAGAAGAAUACCAUCUAACAUUGACAGCAGAGAGUGGACCCACAUCACAAAGUUAUUUGACUCAUGUAGUUUUACCUAAUGGAAUUGGUGCAACCAUGGCAAAUGCUACUGCUAAUGUUUUGUUGGAAUUUAACAGUGUUCAGAGUUUAAUAGCGGUUAUUUUAGAUAAUACAAGUUCAAAUACAGAUUGCGAUAGUGGUUUGGUUGUCAAACUUGAAAAAAUUAUAAACAAAAACUUACACCUUUUAGGAUGUUUGUUGCAUCAGAAUGAACUUCCACUGCGACAUAUCAUAUCAGAAUUAGAUGGAAAGACAGUUAGUCCUAAUUAUUUCAAAGAGCCUAUCGGGGAGGCUGCAUCUAAUCUAACACUUCACGAAUAGCCAUUGUUUCAAUUUGUACCCAUAAAGUCAGAGGUAGAGUUAUUUGUUAACAAAGAGAUUUUAAGUGAUCUUAGUACAGAGCAGCACAAACCCUAUGAGUAUUGUGUUGGUAUUUCAAAAGGUUUUAUUUCUGAAAGGUUUGUUUCAAAAAAACCAGGACCAGUUUGCCAUGCCAGAUGGCUAACUUUAACACUCAGAAUUAUGAUGUUAUAUGUUAGGACUAUGGAGCCAUCUCUUGAGCUAUUAGCAGUAACUAAGCAUAUUGUGCAAGUUUACUGUGUAAUGUGGUUUGCUAUCAAGCACUCUGGACAAUACAAAGAUGCUUGUCUAUUCCUAUAUAAAAAUAUUCAGUUGGUCAAGCUUCAAGAAAGCAGGAAUCAAAAUAUCGUUUUUACCAAUCUCCAGGGAAAUUCAUACUGUUGUUUGCAGGAAAAUUUUCUUUACUGCAUGCUGCAGGAUGAAAAUAUACAUAUAAGAAAUCGAUCUCUUAACCAAAUUCUUAUAAUAAGAAAAUUAAAAGAAGACAUUACUUUCAAAACUCAGCUUAAACCAAAAUCGGUAAUGAAAAUAAAUUUUGAUGCUGGUUCUUGGGACCUUCUUGUUUCAGUUGAUAAGAUUCAAAUUGAGCCACCAGCAACACUUAGCAUUACUUCAGAAAAAAUUAGAGAGGCAUUUGAAUCUGGACAAAAUCUUUGUCUAAUUGGUUUUCCUAACAAUUCGCAAUCCGUUGAAAGAGCAGUAAAACUAACCUCUAAAGCUGCUAAGCAGGUUUAUGGUCUAGAAAAAAGACACAAAUUCAUUUUGGCAUAGAACCAAAGUCGAAAAGAGAAUAAAAGAAAUGUAAAAAAAUGUGAUUAUUUUAUAAAAUGAAUAUCUAA